rnacentral:lncRNA from 1 species
UAUUGUAAAUACGGGCUAGACUCUUGGUAUAUUAGUCCGGGGGCCUGAGCUCAAUUUUUUGCAUAACAAUAUUCUCAACGACCAAUGUAAUGAGCUUAAUGGAGGUAUUUUUGAUUUGUUUAGAUGAGAUUGGAGCUCAGAUAAAAAAAAUAUUGCGGAUUCAUUGUAUGACUCUUGCAUCGUGUUUACCCGGAAGGUUACAUACUGGCCUCAAAGCGUUCCCCUAAAAUGUUUUUCUUUGUUUGAUGUCAUGCUAUUCCUUAUCGGUCUAGACUCCAUGGAGCAUGGAGUAAGAUAGUACGUACGUUCUACUCCGUACGUACUCCAGAAAUUCUUUUUCACUCCCCUUGUGGAGAGGCCCAAGUCCCUUGUCAUUCCCUUUAGCGCAUACAGAAUAGUGGAUAAUGAAUUGCAUGUCUAGUUAGAAUGCUUUAUAGGAUUACUACACCACUAAGCAGUAAGCACUAGCAGAAAUUGACUGCAUAUGCUAAUACGUCUAUGCAUCCUUCUUUUUUCGACUGGUACCAGCGCGGAAUCCGCCGAACCUUGGCCUAU